rnacentral:rRNA from 1 species
UAAGUGUUGCGGUUAAAAAGCUCGUAGUUGGAUUUCUGUUGAGGAUGACCGGUCCGCUCUUUGAGCGCGUAUCUGGUUCAGCCUUGGCAUCCUCUUGGGGAACGCUACUGUGCUUGAUUGCAUGGGGCGGUAUUCAAGACUUUUACUUUGAGGAAAUUAGAGUGUUCACUGCAAGCGUUAGCAAUUGAAUACAUUAGCAUGGAAUAAUAAUAUAGGACCUUGGUACUAUUUUGUUGGUUUCUAGAACUAAGGUAAUGAUUAAUAGGGACAAUUGGGGGCAUUCGUAUUAACGCGUCAGAGGUGGAAUUCUUAGAUUGCGUUACGACGAACUACUGCGAAAGCAUUUGCCAAGGAUGUUUUCAUUGAUCAAGAACGAAAGUAUGGGGAUCGA